CGGCUUCGAAGCUAAUAUUCAAAGAGGAAUAAACACGAUUUUUACUGAGCACAGAUAAGUAAAGUAAAUUCGUAACUGAUCAAACCAGUUGUCUAUCAACAAGUUACAAAAACUACUAGCAAAGCUAAUUUUGUACAAUUUUUUUCUCAGCUGCCAUAUCUGCGCAGAGAAUUCCCCAAUUAUUUAUUAUCUAUUUAACAUUUCCACGAGAAAUCCUUGCAAAAGUACAGCUCAGUACGGCAAGCAUACAUUGUUAUACAUUCAGUAAUCCCUGGUAAUUCAUGUAAUCUAAUUAGGUACUGUGUGGUCACUCCGCUCCAGGGUCUGACCGCAUUCCACUGCAGUUGGAUCAACUAACGAUGGAUUUUUUUGUGCGAACACGAUUAGAAAGACUCUCUAAUUUCUUCAAAACAAUUUCUACUAGAAGUUUAAUCCAAAAAGUGUUUUUCGUGUCGUUAUUUGAUAGCUGGAAGAGCACUCGUGCAAUACGUGGCAGGAUUUCUCAGGAUACUAAGAUCAUGCUGUGUCGUACAAGAAGGAUGUAUACUGAAGCCCCUCGUCCGUUAUUUCCCAGAACGCUGCCGGAUUAUAAUUACCUACGAAACAAUGGUAUUAAGAACUCCAAAACAAUACAAACAAAGAAAACGAUGAAUGGAAUACGAGAAUGUUUGCAGAAAGUCAACAGGAUAUUCUUGUGAUGAAGGAUUUUUAGUCAACAUGACAUGGGCUUCUAUCAGCAAAUGUCAGAUGACUGCAACGAAAAAAUUCCGGUGGUGUGAGAAGAAAAGAAUGACCUGUAGGAAAAGCAUACACAUUUUAGAAACGGAAAGUAAAAAGAGAAAGAGAAAGAGAAAAAAAGAGUGAAUGUGUGUCAGUACCUCACGAAACCCCUUUUCUGCCGAUGAUGCAAUGGUCCUGAUAACCCGAUUAAAUGUCCCAAAUAAACAGCGUUAACCUGUUGCUAUCUCUCGUUCUGUAUCGUCCUGUAACAGCGAUUAUUUGUGAUUAUUUUCAGCAUGUUUCGUUUAUAAUAAAUUUGUAUAUAAUAUUUAAUUUCA